GAUGAACGCUAGCUACAGGCUUAACACAUGCAAGUCGAGGGGAAACGAUAGAGAAAGCUUGCUUUUUCUAGGCGUCGACCGGCGCACGGGUGAGUAACGCGUAUCCAACCUGCCCACCACUUGGGGAUAACCUUGCGAAAGUAAGACUAAUACCCAAUGACGUCUCUAGAAGACAUCUGAAAGAGAUUAAAGAUUUAUCGGUGAUGGAUGGGGAUGCGUCUGAUUAGCUUGUUGGCGGGGUAACGGCCCACCAAGGCGACGAUCAGUAGGGGUUCUGAGAGGAAGGCCCCCCCACAUUGGAACUGAGACACGGUCCAAACUCCUACGGGAGGCAGCAGUGAGGAAUAUUGGUCAAUGGACGAGAGUCUGAACCAGCCAAGUAGCGUGCAGGAUGACGGCCCUAUGGGUUGUAAACUGCUUUUAUAAGGGAAUAAAGUGAGUCUCGUGAGACUUUUUGCAUGUACCUUAUGAAUAAGGACGGCUAAAUUCCGUGCCAGCAGCCG
rnacentral:rRNA from 1 species